UACGGAAGGGGCUAGCGUUGUUCGGAAUCACUGGGCGUAAAGCGCGCGUAGGCGGCCGGUCAAGUGCGGCGUGAAAGUCCUGGGCUCAACCUGGGGACGGCGCUGCGGACUGUUCGGCUGGAGUCCGGAAGAGGGUGGUGGAAUUCCGAGUGUAGAGGUGAAAUUCGUAGAUAUUCGGAGGAACACCGGUGGCGAAGGCGGCCACCUGGUCCGGUUACUGACGCUGAAGCGCGAAAGCGUGGGGAGCAAA
rnacentral:rRNA from 1 species